GGUAUAUAAGAUCAGCUCUUUGACUCGCCCAGCAUCUCCAGACAGGAAAGCUGAGGCUAUAAUCUGUCGCUGAAGUAAAGGAAAUAACGUGAUUAUCGUCUUUAAUCUGAAUCAUGAAGAUUCUGUUUCUUUGUGCCUUGCUGGCUCUGAGUCAAGCUGCAGAUGUCAGAGAGGAACUUGAGAUUGAGGAAACUUUUCAUGAAGCUCUUCUUCCUGAAGCUGAAGCUGGAAACUGGACAGAACCAGCAG